AACAACGAACCCCCGGUGUGAAUCACGCCAAGGAACUGAAAAAAAAAUGGAGCAUGCACGCCAUCGCCAUCCCGUUUGUGGUGCGUGCGCAGGCAGCGUCACGACUCUUGUAACAAAUAUCUCGGCUCGUGCAUCGAUGAAGAACAUAGAAAAAUGUGAGACUUGGUGUGAAUUGUAGAAUCUCGUCAACCAUCGAGUCUUUGAAUGCAAGUUGCACCCUAAACCAUCGAUGUGCCUGCAGAGACAUCGUCACUGCAAUCAUGGAAAGCAAUAUGCGUCCUCUCGGUGUGCCUCGACACCCGCGUGUCCCUGAUGUCGGUCGCAGGCUCCCUAUCUGGCCUAUCUUGAAACACGGACCAAGGAGUCUGACAUGUGUGAGUCAACGGGCUAAGAAAUUCGUAAGGCACAAGGAAGCUGAUUGGCGGGAUCCCUCGUGGGUGCACCACCGACCGACCUUGAUCUUUUGAGAAGGGUUUGAGUGCGAGCAUGCCCGUCGAGAUCCGAAAGAUGGUGAACUAUGCCUGAACGGGGUGAAGCUGGAUGAAACUCUAGUGGAGGCUCACAACGAUACUAACGUGCAAAUUGUUCGUCUGACUUGGGUAUAGGGGCAAAAGACUAAUCAAACCGUAUAGUAGCUGGUUCCCUCCAAAGUUUCCUUCAGGAUAGCUGAAGCCCUCGACAAGUUCUAUCGAGUAAAGCCAAUGAUUAGAGGCAUCGAGGGGCGCAACGCCCUCGACAUAUUCUCAAACUUUAAAUAGGUAGGACGGCGCGACUGCUUCGUUGAGCUGUGCCACAGAAUCGAGAGCUCCAAGUGGGCCAUUUUUGGUAAGCAGAACUAGCGAUAUAGACAAAUAGGAAGCUAGGUUAUGGUGCCCAAUUGCGCGUUAACCCAGAACCUACAAAGGGUGUUGGUCGAUUAAGACAACAGGACGGUGGUCAUGGAAGUCAAAAUUUGCUAAGGAGUGUGUAACAACUCACCUGUUGAAUCAACUAACCCCGAAAAUGGAUGGCGCUUAAGGGCGCGACCUAUACCUGAACAUCGGGGCAAGGGCCAGGCCUCGAUGAGUAAGAGGGCACAACGAUCACCAUAAAGCUUAGGGUGCAAGCCUGAGCGAAGUGAUCGUCGGUGCAGAUCUUGGUGGUAGUAACAAAUAUUCAAAUGAAAAGUUUGAAGGCCGAAGAGGGGAAAGGUUUCAUGUGAAUGGCACUUGCACAAGGGUUAGUAGAUCCUAAGAGACAGGGGAAGACCAUUCGAUAGCGCAUCCCACGCAAGCUUCAAAAGGGAAUCAGGUUAAAAUUCCUGAACCGGGAUGCGAUGACCGCGGUAACAUUAGGGAGUCCAGAGACGUCGAAGGGGGCUCAGGAAGAGUUAUCUUUUCUGCUUAAUGGCCCGCCCACCCUGGAAACGACUUAACAGGAGGUAGGGUCCAGCAGCCGAAAGAGCAUCGUACGUUGUGUGGUGUCCGGUGUAGCCCCAGCAGCCCUUGAAAAUUUGGAGGACCGAGUGCUAUCCACGCUUGGUCGUACUCAUAAUUGCAUCAAGUCUCUAAGGUGAACAACAUCUGGUCAAUGGAACAAUGUAGGCAAGGGAAGUUGGCAAAAUGGAUCUGUAACCUCGGAAAAAGAUUGGCUCUGAGGGCUAGGCAUGGGGGUCCUAGUCCUGAACCCAUCGGUUGUCUGUGCACUACUCGAACUACUCCCAUGGCGAGAGCGGGUCACCACGUGCCGGUCGAGGGAUGAACUGGGAACGGCUCCCUCGGGGGCGUUCCCUGAGCGAUGAACAAUCGACUCAAAACUAGUACAUACAAGGGGAAUCUGACUAUUUAAUUCAAACAAAGCAUUGUGAUGGUCCCUGCGGAUGCUCACGCAAUGUGAUUUUUGCCCAGUGCUCUGAAUGUCAAAGUGAAGAAAUUUAACCAAGCGCGGGUAAAUGACGGGAGUGACUAUGACUCUCUUAAUGUAGCCAAAUGCCUCGUCAUCUAAUUAGCGACGUGCAUGAAUGGAUUAACGAGAUUCCCACUAUCCCUGUCUACUAUCCAGUGAAAUCAUAGCCAAGGGAAUGGGCUUGACGGAAUUAGCGGGGAAAGAAGACCUUGUUGAGUUUUACUCUAGUCUGACUUUGUGAAAUGACUUGAGAGGUGUAGGAUAAGUGGGAGUCCCUAGGUGAAAUUGAAAUACCAUUGCUUUUAACAUUAUUUUACUUAUUCCGUGAAUCGAAGGUGAGGCACGACCCUUUCUUUCAGACCCAAGGUUGAUCUCGAUCGAUCAAUCCGGGCGAAAGACAUUGUCAGGUGGAGAGUUUGGCUAGGACGGCACAUCUGUUAAAAGAUAACGCAGGUGUCCUAAGAUGAGCUCAACAAGAACAGAAAUAUCAUGUGGAAUAAAAGGGUAAAAGCUCGUUUGAUUUUGAUUUCUAGUACGAAUACGAACCAUGAAAGUGGCCUAUCGAUCCCUUAAACCUUUGGGUUUUGAAGCUAGAGGUGUCAGAAAAGUUACCACAGGGAUAACUGGCUUGUGGCAGCCAAGAGUUCAUAGCGAUGUUGCUUUUUGAUCCUUCGAUGGCAUCUCUUCCUAUCAUUAUGAAGCAGAAUUCACCAUGUGUUGGAUUAUUCACCCACCAAUAGGGAAUGUGAGCUGGGUUUAGAUCGUCGUGAGACAGGUUAGUUUUACCCUACUGAUGGCAACAUCAUGAUAGUAAUUCAACCUAGUACAAGAAGAAUCGUUGAUUCGCACAAUUGGUCAUCGCAUUUGGUUGAAAAGCCAGUGGCACGAAGCUACUAUGCACUGGAUUAUGACUGAAAGCCUUUAAGUCAGAAUCUGGGCUAGAAGCGAUGUGCGUGCCCGUCGCCCAAUUUCAACCCGUAGUAGGGGCCCAUGGCCCCCAAGGGCACGUGUCGUAUGUGCAGGCUUCAUGACGGAUGAUCUGUGCGGGCCUCAUUGGAGAUCAAUUCCCAUUG
rnacentral:rRNA from 1 species